rnacentral:piRNA from 1 species
UNCAAGAUACAGGUGCUCAGGUGUCACUCA